GACGAACGCUGGCGGCGUGCUUAACACAUGCAAGUCGAACGGAAAGGCCCUGCUUUUGUGGGGUGCUCGAGUGGCGAACGGGUGAGUAACACGUGAGUAACCUGCCCUUGACUUUGGGAUAACUUCAGGAAACUGGGGCUAAUACCGGAUAGGAGCUCCUGCUGCAUGGUGGGGGUUGGAAAGUUUCGGCGGUUGGCGAUGGACUCGCGGCUUAUCAGCUUGUUGGUGGGGUAGUGGCUUACCAAGGCUUUGACGGGUAGCCGGCCUGCGAGGGUGACCGGCCACAUUGGGACUGAGCUACGGCCAAGACUCCUACGGGAGGCAGCAGUGGGGAAUAUUGCACAAUGGGCGGAAGCCUGAUGCAGCAACGCCGCGUGCGGGAUGACGGCCUUCGGGUUGUAAACCGCUUUCGCCUGUGACGAAGCGUGAGUGACGGUAAUGGGUAAAGAAGCACCGGCUAACUACGUG
rnacentral:rRNA from 1 species